GGAUGCGAUCGUACCAGCACUAAUGCACCGGAUCCCAUCAGAACUCCGAAGUUAAGCAUGCUUGGGCGAGAGUAGUACUAGGAUGGGUGACCCCCUGGGAAGUCCUCGUGUUGCAUCCC
rnacentral:rRNA from 1 species